rnacentral:rRNA from 1 species
GAUGAACGCUGGCGGCGUGCCUAAUACAUGCAAGUCGAGCGAACAGACGAGGAGCUUGCUCCUCUGACGUUAGCGGCGGACGGGUGAGUAACACGUGGAUAACCUACCUAUAAGACUGGGAUAACUUCGGGAAACCGGAGCUAAUACCGGAUAAUAUAUUGAACCGCAUGGUUCAAUAGUGAAAGACGGUUUUGCUGUCACUUAUAGAUGGAUCCGCGCCGCAUUAGCUAGUUGGUAAGGUAACGGCUUACCAAGGCAACGAUGCGUAGCCGACCUGAGAGGGUGAUCGGCGACACUGGAACUGAGACACGGUCCAGACUCCUACGGGAGGCAGCAGUAGGGAAUCUGCCGCAAUGGGCGAAAGCUUGACGGAGCAACGCCGCGUGAGUGAUGAAGGUCUUCGGAGCGUAAAACUCUGUUAUUAGGGAAGAACAAAUGUGUAAGUAACUAUGCACGUCUUGACGGUACCUAAUCAGAAAGCCACGGCUAACUACGUG